rnacentral:rRNA from 1 species
GACAGAGGGUGCAAACGUUGUUCGGAAUUACUGGGCGUAAAGCGCGUGUAGGCUGCUCGGAAAGUCGGAUGUGAAAGCCCUGGGCUUAACCCAGGAAGUGCACUCGAAACUCCCGAGCUCGAGUCCUGGAGAGGAAGGCGGAAUUCUCGGUGUAGAGGUGAAAUUCGUAGAUAUCGGGAGGAACACCUGCGGUGUAGACGGCUUACUGGACCGUAACUGACGCUGAGGCACGAAAGCGUGGGGAGCAAACAGG